rnacentral:rRNA from 1 species
UACAGAGACUGCAAGCGUUAUUCGGAUUCACUGGGCGUAAAGGGCGCGUAGGCGGCUGGGGAAGUCGGCGGUGAAAGCCCGGAGCUCAACUCCGGGUCGGCCGUCGAGACUCCUCGGCUCGAGCUCACUAGAGGCAGAUGGAAUUCCGGGUGUAGCGGUGGAAUGCGUAGAGAUCCGGAAGAACACCGGUGGCGAAGGCGGUCUGCUGGGGUGAGGCUGACGCUGAUGCGCGACAGCGUGGGGAGCAAACAGG